AGCGAACGCUGGCGGCAGGCUUAACACAUGCAAGUCGAGCGGGCGUAGCAAUACGUCAGCGGCAGACGGGUGAGUAACGCGUGGGAACGUACCUUUUGGUUCGGAACAACACAGGGAAACUUGUGCUAAUACCGGAUAAGCCCUUACGGGGAAAGAUUUAUCGCCGAAAGAUCGGCCCGCGUCUGAUUAGCUAGUUGGUGAGGUAACGGCUCACCAAGGCGACGAUCAGUAGCUGGUCUGAGAGGAUGAUCAGCCACAUUGGGACUGAGACACGGCCCAAACUCCUACGGGAAGCAGCAGUGGGGAAUAUUGGACAAUGGGGGCAACCCUGAUCCAGCCAUGCCGCGUGAGUGAUGAAGGCCCUAGGGUUGUAAAGCUCUUUUGUGCGGGAAGAUAAUGACGGUACCGCAAGAAUAAGCCCCGGCUAACUUCGUG
rnacentral:rRNA from 1 species